GGCACCGGAUGCAGAUACCGGCAGGUCUGUCACAAAGCAAGAAGUGGCUCUGGGGUUUGUCAUUUUGGGGACAGUCUUGUGAACUUGUGAUCUAUGGACGGGGAAAAUAGCAGCGUGGACUUCAGGCAUUCUGCAAGUGGUUUUUCUCCUGCUGAGAGGCAUGAUGCUCCCACCAUCUGCCCACGCUGGCACCAGGUCUUCCUGAAAGCCACUGCUCUGGGGCUGCUGCUGCUACUGCUGACUGCGCUCGCCGUGCAGGAGUUUCUUGGAAAGCAACACCACAUCCAAGCACUCCCCAGCACAGCGCUGAGAUGCGGGGAGGAAUGGGGUGGAGCCGUGUGUGACCUC